GGGGAUUUAGCUCAGUGGUAGAGCACUUGCCUAGCAAGCAUAAGGCCCUGGGUUCGGUCCUCAGCUCUG
rnacentral:tRNA from 1 species